rnacentral:lncRNA from 1 species
GCGCCCCCCGGCGGGCGGAGCCCGGCGCCGCGGCCAGGAUUUCCCACCUCGCUCCCGCGACUCCGCUGCGGGUCUGCACACCCGAGGACUCGGGGUACUUAACCGAAACUAGCAAUCCCAGGCGGUACAAGGCCCUCCAUCGUAGGCAAAGCACUACCUGAAUGUAGAUUUGGGCCAUACGUUGGAAAAUAAGACAUGAGAGUAUGCUCCGAUCAACUUUUACUGUUCACUGGACAACUAUUUUGGGAAUUUGCAGACCUAUAAAGCCCAUCUAUAAAUCUCAAGCAUGUCCACUUUCAGAGAAGAGAAAUGCUGACAACCAUUUAGUCUCUGAGGACAACACUUUUAAAGUUAUACAGGACUCCAUCAUAGGACUGGAGAGAGAUUGGAUGUCAGAGUGAUUGAUGUGCUCCUACUGGAAGAAGGCAAACAUCCAUAUGUGAACUGCCUGUGGGGUUUCCAAGGAAAGGAACGGCAGGCAGCCUCUAUGAGCUUAAAGAAGAUAACUGGGACUUUAGUCCUAUAACCUCAAGGAACAGUAUUCUGUGAACCAUCUGAGAAGCUUGGAAGAGGACCCCAAACUCCAAAUAAGAAGCUCAGUGUGUCUGACACCUUGACUGCAGGCUUGGGAGGUCCUGAGCAGAAGAUCCAGUUCAACAGUGCCUGGACUCCUGAUCCACAAAAACUGAUAACAAAUAUUUAUUGUUUUAAGAUGCUAAGUUUGUAGUCAUUUUUUAUACAGCAACAGAAAACUAAACACACACAUAAACAGUUAUAAGUGCUCACUGUAUAUGAGGCUUUUCAUUAAUAAUCUAUAUUUUAUAAUAGAAUUAGAAUAUAGAUCUGUGAAGCUGAAGACACUCAAUCCUUGCUAGAUUUAAAUCAGGAAAAUCAGCUGAGAAUCAUUCCUUGAUAGAACCUGGAAAACAAGACCCUAUGAGAGACCCUGGGAAUUACAUUAAAUUCACUGUGGUUCCCAGUGUCACUGAAGAGGUUUUCCUUUCAUAGUCAGGUAGUCACCAUACUGUUAAGCAUUUGAACACAUGGGCAACUUCCAGAAUAGUUAUGACAUUGAUAUACCAAUCUCCAAAAUUCCUAGAAUACCAUGUUUUCAUGGUUGACCUUCAAAUCAGUCAGUUCUUUGUAACAUUGAGCCAUAAAGAUAGGGCAAAUACUUAAUGUUUUACAUAUAUUCAGAGAUUGACCCUCAAAAUACAGCCCAGAGAAACUCAAAAGAAUUAACUCUAUUUCUUCAAAUUGUGUGACGCCACCAAGGCCAGAUGACUUCAGCAUUGGGAAGGCAAUAUCCAGCUGUCAUCUUCUUGAUCCUCAUAUGCUACUACUAGCAUCUAGCAUUUACUGAGCAGAUAGUUUUAUUGUCCAGUUUUUAAAGAUAAGAAAAUUGAGGUAUUAGGAAAGUUAAGUUGGUUGCCUAGGGAAACACGAAGAUAUAGCCCAGAUUCACUCCCAGGCAGGCAGAUGCCAGUGUCUGCUC